UGGCUGAAAGAUGGCAAUGAGGUAAAACUAGACGCAAAUUGUACACAAUCGAAUGAAGGAACGAAACACAACCUUAUUAUAAAGAACAUUAAAUCAGAUAACAGUGGAGAAUAUUGUGUGAAAAGUGGAAACUAUACCAGAACAAUACAGCUUAUAAUUAAAGAUUGUUUUCUGGAAGACCCUUCAAAUGUUAAGAACAUAGAACAUGUAGAAGGAGACGAUGCAAUAUUAAGCUGUAAAGUCAGACUUACAAGUCUACCUGUGGAAUGGUUUAAAGAUGGCAAUGCCGUUGAACUAGACGAUAAUUGUACAAAGUCUAUUGAAGGGACAAAACACAUCCUCAAUAUAAAACACGUUAAAUCAGAUGACAGUGGAGAAUAUUGUGUGAAAGUUGGAAACUUUUCCAGAAAACUACAGCUGAAAGUUAAAGAUUGUUUUCUGGAAGACCCUUCCAAUGUUGAGUACAUAGAAGGAGAAGAUGCAAUAUUAACCUGUAAAGUAAGCCCUACAAGUCUUCCGGUGGAAUGGUUUAAAGACGGCAGUGGUGUUGAACUAGACGAUAAUUGUAAACAGUCCAAUGAAGGCACAACGCAC